rnacentral:rRNA from 1 species
CCCAAGAGAUCGGGAUAACACCUGGAAACAGAUGCUAAUACCGGAUAACAACAGAUGAUGCCUAUCAACUGUUUAAAAGAUGGUUCUGCUAUCACUCUUGGAUGGACCUGCGGUGCAUUAGCUAGUUGGUAGGGUAACGGCCUACCAAGGCGAUGAUGCAUAGCCGAGUUGAGAGACUGAUCGGCCACAUUGGGACUGAGAUACGGCCCAGACUCCUACGGGAGGCAGCAGCA